CGAGAAAAUCGGCUUGUUGAUUCUUGUUUCGGCAAGGGUAGGAAAGUCCGGACACCAUAGAGCAGCAAAGCGGAUAACAUCCGUCAUCCGUGAGGAUAGGACAAGUGCAACAGAAAGCAGGUACAGUUCGGCUGUAGUGAAACCAGGUAAACUCUUUGCGGUGCAAUGAUAAGUAUAUCGGUUCUUUUCAGUAAUGAAAAUAGGGGCGGCUCGCUCUGAAAGCCGAGGGGUAAUCAGCUCAAGUUUUGCAGCAAUGUAAAACGUAGAUAAAUAACAGGCACUUUUUUAAAGUACAAAAUCCGGCUUAUAGAUUUUCUCGUGUU
rnacentral:RNase_P_RNA from 1 species